ensembl:lncRNA
CUCUCUCUCUCUCUCUCUCUCUCUCUCUCUCUCUCUCUCUCUCUCUCUCUCUCUCUCUCUCUCUCUCUCUCUCUCUCUCUCGUCAAGUAGGCCCACUAAACGCAAAAUAAUAAGGCGACAUAGAGUUGGAGCUGGUUAGCUUUUUUUUUUAUUAGCAUUGAAGGAUGAAUACACUUUCAAACAUUCCAAUGACAUUUUGUCACGAUGUUCAUUUUAAUAAGGAGUGGAAAUAAGCGAGUCAGCAAACUAAUAAUUUACACCACUGAAAGGCCUAAUUGUACUGUAAGGACAUCCUUCAACAAAAACCUACACCAUGCCUGUCUCCACCCAUAAAAGAUAACGAUAUGAUACAAUAUACUACUUGGUAAUAUUAUUUGUCAUGGACUUCAAAAAAGAAAAAACAAGAAGCUUUAAGUGAUGAUUUGUUCGAAGCUCUAGCCUAAGUGUUGCGUAUUCGUAUUGACGACUGCCCCUCGCCAGUGCAUCCUCGUCACAAAACUAGCAGAGAAAUCCUCCAUGUUAUGCACGCGCCACGCGUUCAGGCCUCAGACCUGGGAACUGGCCCACAGAAAGUCAAGUGUACAAGGGGACAAGAUCAAGCCAAUUGUCAAUUUAUAACUGGUUUACCUGUUGUUUUUGCUGAUUUUAACCAUAAUAUAUCUUGUUUGAACUUAUAUAGUAGAGGAUAAUGGCAUAAAUUACAAACAAAAAGGCCUUCCGUAUAUUUGUCUAAAGGCUUUGAUUUUUUGUUAUUGUUUUUUGCGAGAGGGCUAUUGAACAGAAGGGAAUGCAUUUCAUGAAUCCAGCUCUUUCUAUUGACUCAACAAUUCAUCAGCAUAUACAAUUGUAAACUUUGCUGUGGGUUUGUUUGUUUUACAUUGUAGUCGUUGUAUGGCAUUAUUAGUGUGUAGAACGAGGCUUUAGUAAUCUAAAAAUAGGAGCAAAACAAAGGACGCCUUUGAGCCUUAUAGACAAAAUGGAGGAUAUCUUCUUCCUGGUUUCACUGGUUUUCUGCCCAUGGCGAACGCCACGUGGGCCCAGGUCAAAAGAGGGGGUAAGGGUUACAUUUUUGCCGGGGGUAGGAAAAUAACUAAAGAUGGGAGGGACAGAUUCUGUAAAAGAGUAAAAAGGGAUAUGGGUGGCGUGGGGGGGGGGGAUGUAUGCAUGUUGAUGUAAGAGCGGUCUCAUCAUUAUUCUCUAUGUGUACUGUAUAAACUAUUAACAGGGGAGAGCAACAUGUGUGUGCAUAAUGGAAGUAGGUGGGUAUGUUUGUGUGAGCGGGGGUCCUCCCCCUCUACCAAUUGCCUGGACACAGCUCUGUUCUUCCGGCCGGGUUGUUUGACUCCAUCCCUGGUUGCUGCUCUGACUUCUUACCCCCCCCUUGGGUAGUGGGAUAGGUGUCCCCCACUCUCUCACCAACUCCCUGGUCGCUCGGAACUAAACUCUCAAUCGAUGAUCCGUCAUGACAACACAAUGCAAUGAUUGUGUAUAUAUAUAUAUACAUAUAUAUAUACACAUAUAUAUAUUUAUAUACUGCCAUUACACACCAAGGCACGGCCUGCCCUUAUUAGUUUGAAACGUUUGACGUUUCCUAGACCUGCGCGGGGUGGAAAACCAGUUGGUUCAGUUGCAACACGUCGCAUACUCUCCAGUAUGCAACAAUAACAACAGCCACAACUACAACAAUCUUCAUUUGACGAACAGACGAGUCAUCGUCUGCGGCAGGUGUUUCCGCAGCCACGUACGUUAGUUAUUAGUUAGGGAGUGGAUAAAUGAAUGGAUUACAUUUUACUGACUUAACACACAAAACAGCCAAGAAAGGGGUUCCUCAGGACCAAUAGAUGCAGACCACUGAACCAGCUGACUCAGGGGGGGAGGGGAGGGUCUUGAUUCAGUUCCCCACCACGGGCACGGCCUCAAGGGUCUCCAUGUUGUCUCUGGACCACUUGUUGGCCAAGAUAGCUCCACCACAAUAGGUACUUCUUUGGGGUUCCUUUUCAUUUUCUUUGUAACUGAAGAAUCGUCAUUAUAUUAUUAGGCUUCGAGGGAGGGUGGAUAGGGGAAACGCUGUGGCGGUUGGCUGCCCGGCAUUCUGUGCAUCCUUCCUUCUGGGAACAAACACCACUGAAGUAUUUCAGACAUGGCCACGUGUUAAAAUCAGGGGCAGAUACACACUGUGACUCAUUUGUUUUCUUUUUCUAGGCUUGAUCUUUAGUGCCACAGCAUAACGUAUGCUCGGUCAUCAUGCACAGUUUUCGCUUUGUUUGUGGUGCUUAUGAUGCCUGCCUUGAUUAUAGUAGGACUAUUAUGUCUGACUUUCUGACUGGUGAGCUGAGUUGAGUUCGCAAGGGCCAGCGUGAGUCUGGAUGGUUAAUGACACACAAUGCACACAUACAACGCACAACAUAUUUAUUGAACAUUUAUACAGUAUAUGUACCGUUUUGCAACAUCAACAGUAUUGCAAGAAACUAGGUUAUGGGUGAGUUACUUUUUAUAUUACCAUUGGUUUACCGAUAUUCCUCUGAUACCGGAAACAGUAUAAGACAGUAUUAAAAGCAUGCAUCCUAAAUACUACAGUAGCUGCUGGUUUUAUGACAAAAUUCACAUGCCUCAAAAGCAAGCCUGCAGUACAAACCAAUACUUCCUACCAAGUCACAAGCCUGAUAGAAUAUAGAAACACAGCAAGAGCGUUCCAAACGGCAAGUUUGCUUCCUACUCCUUGUUGUGCCUUGUUUUUAUUUGGGUGCUUCAAUAUCGCCAUGGCAGCCAGGUCCACAAACAAUAGCAACAAUAAACACUAUAUUUUGUAUCCAUCCAUUUGUACGUUCCAAGGGACUAAGUGUCUCUUUGUUUGUCUACCAAAACUUGAUCAAGCCAAGUCUUCAAACUCUCUCUCUAUGCCAUCUUAAACCUCAAGCAAAUAUUUGAAUAAGGGAUAACAUUUCAUUCAGAAUUUCACAAACUAUCUUGAGUAAUGGUGUGGGUUAAUGGGUGUAUUUGUGUAAAACACGGCAGUUAUUCAAGAUGGGAGGGGUUGAGGCUAUCUCAACAAUAUUCAGUAUGUGAACACAAAUGUUACGCAAAGGUAAAAGUAUCAAAAACAAAGUCCUCAAAACCAUUGUGUUUAAUUCAUUGAAUAAAUAAUAAUAAUAAUAAUAAUAAUAAUAAUAAUAAUGAUAAUAGUUAUGACGAAAUAGCCAUGACGAUUCUGAAAACUGUUCUGGUCUAUGAUUGUUAUAUACUUUUGUCUAUGCCUUCACAUCAUCUUCCGUCUUGCAAUGAUGAAUGAUUUGUAGUGCCAAGGUGUAAAACUUGUGUGUCGUUUGUCCUGUGUAAACAAUACAUCAAUACUUAGCCAAAUAAAUAAAUAAUGACUGCAUUAAGGUAUAUAUAUAUAAACAUAUAUACAUACAUAUGGAGAGCUUAAAGAUUUCCAAAAGGGCAAAGCUAUUGGUUAUAUUGCAUCUUUGGAGUGGGGCGAUAUAUUGAAAUAAAGCCCGGACACAUUUUCAUUGUCCAAUUAGAUAAUUUCCCCGGUUCGCCCAUCAUUCCGUUGGCAUGCCUGUAAAAUUGUGCCGUGAUCCUCGACAUUACGCAUGUAGGUGCUUUUAACCACAUAAGGGUUUCCUCUGGUUUCCCCCUUUUCAUAUGUACUGUAGCAGCAGGCGAAUCUAGCUAGCGUCGACGUGUUUGCUCGUUUGAGUCUUUGUUUAAGUAUAUACCUCUCUGUCAACGCCAUCCGUUAUGACCGGGCAAGGAGGCAAAUGCUUGGUUGAUAACAAGUUUUUCGGUUGUUUAUUUCGUUUUUGGUUCAACCUGGUGCUGAAUAAACACAUUUAAAAAUAAACAAACAAAAAGGUGCUACUGCAACCAGUGGGCCGUGGACUCCACUUUGUGGCUCCAGUGGUGCGCAGCCAUCCCCCAGGUGGACUGAAAAGGCCCCUGGCUCCAAAAGCUUGCAGAAACCCCGCGCUCGGGACAUUUAGCAACUCAAUUCUACACUGUUUACAACAGAACUCAAAUACUCAAUGGUGCCGCUUUUUUUUUUCAACCAAACACAAACUCACACACACACAUACACAUACACAAUGGACACGCAACAGAUGUGUAUCUUUCAUGUGAUGUUAAUCAUGAUCUUUUAUUUUUUCUCUUUUUUUAUUAUUCUUUUGUUUUAAUUUUACUUUGAUUCAAUCUGCACUAGGACUUCUUUUUUCGGAGGGGGUGAAACGUAACGCGUCAAAGAAGCAUUAUUUUGGCAAAAACUCUCAGAAGCACAAAAGUGCUUCUGAGAACGGAAUUAUUAUUGAGAACGAGCAUAGGACGUAAUUGCUGUGUUGUAAAUUCCUGUCAUCUCUCUAUGUCUUUAACUUGUGUGUAUCUAUUUUUGUUGUUACUGUGGAAUUGGCUGUAAUAUUUUGUUAAAAUGCAUUUGAUAUUCCAAUGAAGCGAGUACGGUUGUUAUAUUAAUUGCUGCUGGUUUUUGAAAUUGUUCGAGCAAAAAGGUGUUGGGAAAUAUUGCUUUGUUAAAUAUUCAAUCAAUUUCUAGAUUGUGUUAGCUUGUUGGUGUAUUUUACAAAUCUAAUACUCCCUAGACUAUAUGAUUUAUCUGGGCUACUCAGUUGGCAAAUUGCAGUACGCAAACAAUUUGCUACAAUCUGUAGCAUAUCAAUAAAAAUGUACUCUAUACAACCAUGUUGUGAUUGAGAACAUAAAAUAAAGAAUUAUUUCUUUGUUGUUGUUAAAUAUAAAAUGUAAGCAAAUUGUUCCACGGAACUAGCAUUCUUCGAAGAAAAAAAAAAGAGCAAAACUGAUGUCCAGUAUUGUACUUAACCCCUAUUUCUGGGAACAAUAUGAAUAUUAUUGAUAACAUGGUGCUAAAGUUAUUUUGUAUGUUUUGGUUUUUAGAUGAAAACAGAAAUAUUAAGCGAAAAAUGUAAUGUUAAGCCUUACUGUAGAUUAUUAUAUCAGACUGUUCAAACAGAAGAGAACAAAAUAAAUAUAGUCUUUGAAAGUGCAAUGUGUACCAGUAUUGUAUUUAUUUCAGAUUAUUUCUGGGCAAAAAUAUAUAAUAUCAUAUCAACCCAAUUAAUAAAUGAUUAUCUCUCCAAUCUCCCUG